CAAAGACCACACACCAGUGCAGUGUGAUGGGCCUUUCUGCUGCUUCAUUAGUGUGAAGAUUUCCGGGGCCACAGUGAGGAAGAACGUUAAUGCCUGUGCCAGAGCAAAGGAGAAAGAAGUUGGCAAAACUGUUGAUUUGCAUGACAGCUGAAAUGUAAAUACUUUUUUAAAAAUAUGUGAUGUGGAAGCUUCUUAAAAGGGGAUAUGUCCAUUUUUUUCUACCUUUUAAAUUUCUGAGGAGGCCAAGGCACUUGUUUGGGCUAAGUAUGUGAUUGAUAAAGCACCAUCCCUCUUCCUGUUUUCCCCAAAGGUAAAGAUGAUGAUUCUUUUGAUCGGAAAUCAGUGUACCGAGGCUCGCUGACACAGAGAAACCCCAACGCGAGGAAAGGAAUGGCCAGCCACACCUUCGCGAAACCUGUGGUGGCCCACCAGUCCUAACGGGACAGGACAGAGAGACAGAGCAGCCCUGCACUGUUUUCCCUCCACCACAGCCAUCCUGUCCCUCAUUGGCUCUGUGCUUUCCACUGUACACAGUCACCGUCCCAAUGAGAAACAAGAAGGAGCACCCUCCACAUGGACUCCCACCUGAAAGUGGACAGCGACAUUCAGUCCUGCACUGCUCACCUGGGUUUACUGAUGACUCCUGGCUGCCCCACC
rnacentral:sRNA from 1 species